AUCCAGCUGAUGAAUCCCAAAUGGGAAGAAAUACGUGUCCUGGAU
rfam:Schistosoma margrebowiei strain Zambia genome assembly, scaffold: SMRZ_contig0002433